CCAGCGUCUCUAAAUGAUCUUCUCUCUUCAGGCCCUCAGUGAUGACUCUGCUUCUCAUUACCAUACUGCUGUUCUCAGGUCAGUCUGCUCUUGACGUGUGUGUGUGUGUGUGUGUGUGUGUGUGUGUUAAUUUGUAUUUGUACUUAUAUGUGUACUAUAUGUGUGCGUGUUCAUGUAUGCUUAUCGACAGGCCCAGUUGUCUGUGAGUGUGUGUGGACGUGUUCAUUCUCCAUGUGUGUGGAUCUGUGUGUAUUCAGAUGUUUGUGUGUUUGUGUGUGUGUGUGUGUGUGUGUAUGUGUGUGUGUGUGUGUGUGUAGUCCUCCCUCCUGUCAAGUCUGUGACUCUCCUCCUCUCCUCUCAGAUCUGUGCAGUCUCUCCUCCUCUCCUCUCAGGUCUAUGCAGUCUCUCCUCCUCUCCUCUCCUCUCCUAUCCGAUCUGUGCAGUCACCCCUCCUCUCCUCUCUCCUCCUCUCCUCUCCUCUCCUAUCCGGUCUGUGCAGUCACCCCUCCUCUCCUCUCUCCUCCUCUCCUCACCUCUCCUAUCCGGUCUGUGCAGUCUCUCCUCCUGUCCUCUCCUAUCCUCUCAGGUCUGUGCAGUCACUCCUCCUCUCCUCUCCUUUCAGGUCUGUGCAGUCUCUCCUCCUGUGUGCCACGUCAGUUCCAUGUGGUG
ensembl:lncRNA